CAGAUUUAAAGCCUUGUAUGAUACUUAUAUUAGCGUAUAACUUUUUUAAAUAUCAUAUUUAUAGCUUUAUAACAAUUUAAACGUAUAUGAACUAUUUUGGGUGUAGCCCAUCAAAAUCACUCAACGUCUUCCACGCGAGCGACAUGAAUCGAGCGCACCCAGUUUUCUGGCGAGAUGUUUUGACUUUCGUGUAGUGAUGUUUGAUAGAUACAUAUUCGAGAAACUGUUGCCCAAUAUCUCUGAUAGAUAAGUAUUCGGCAAACUAUUGCCCAUUACCUAUGUGUAGAGAUGGCGAAAGUUGAAGAGGAUCAGAACUGGCUUUCAGCAGACUGACAUUUCAAUGGAUGGCUGCACUUUAUCAAAUGGGAAUGGUGGUAAUAUGGCUGUUAUCAACAGAAAGAGUUAAAAGAUGUUGAUAUAGUGGCAUGCAUCUUUGCCCUACAUGUGGGAAACAGUGACUUCACCAUGCAUUUUACUGAUAAGUAGGGGGAUGUGUUCAAGUACAGGCUUCUCACUCUGAGCAGGUCAAAUAGAUAAGAGCCACAUAUGGAGUUUAAUCUACCAUACCGGAUUAAAGGAAAUGUUACUGUCUUGAAGGGCCCUAGUGUAAUAUGGAGCCAUGAAGGUGUUGUCUUUUACAUUUCUCUACAAGCAGGUGAAGUUAGGCAUUUGUCUAUCAAGCUCGCUCUGAACUUUAUUGGUGAGGAUGCCCUCAACAAAAGGAAAAUAUUCAUACUAGAUUCCCAAACACUAUCAAAAGAAUGCCUGAAUGAUCAAUUGGACUCUCCGGGGAGGAGCAAAACCCUGGGGUAUUUUGUAGAGGAAGGACAAGUAUUUAACGGUGCUCUGAUCUUAACUCAUGCCUACAGUUCCAUCACACCGUGUAGAUUUGGGAUCUCAGCUGAAGAGGUGAACAGUGUGUCAACUGGUAGCAGCGACCAGUAAAAAGCAGUUGCUGUAUUUGAAAGGUAUGCCAGGUUUCCUUUUGAAGAACCUCACCACAUUCAGAUGGUCAACACUGGACAGAAUGGAUGUCUGUUUGCCAUCUCUUUCAACCAUGUGCAGUCUGUGCAGUAUGGAAAGACACAUUUCAGGUAUUGGAAUGCUAUUUUGUGAGAUCGUCAUGCUCAUUGCUUACUGUGUAAAACUGUAUAAUUGUCAUGGCCCUGCUCUGUCUCCCUCGGGGAGUAUCAUGCUGGUUGGGUGUGAGCUCCCUCCGCGAGGAUGACGUUGUGGACUGUGGAACAGAUCAGAUACUGCUGGUCUUUGGAAGCCAGUGCCCUACUGUGGGUCCAGUGGAUCAAUACCUCAUCACAGAUCUCUGCGGGACAACCUAUUCUGAGAGACGCUGUACUUUUCUGCUCUUCUUUACCAGUCUUAUAACACCCUACUUAUAACCCAGUUCUGAUGUGUGAAGAUUGUUGUAUGUUUCAGCAUGGACAUGAGAGCGGUGAAGGACGGACCAUAUCUGACACAGCUCAAGAGAACUAACUCCUAACUGUCAAAACUCUACAGGACAGACUACAGAGGGGUCUGACCUUGCUCCGGGUUCUUCAGAGAGAUGUAAGGGUAAAAGAGAGGAUUCUACGCCAGUCAGUCCAAGCCCUUACAGAAGAGGUCUCAGGAAGAGAACACAUUCUCACCCAGACAGAGCAGUGUUUUUUCCGGCGUCCUGGAACGCACCCUGUCUGGUUGCCGGGCAAUGUAGCCAGUUG